rnacentral:snoRNA from 1 species
UGCAAAUGAUGCUAAUUAUUUACUGUUAAAUAUGGUUGAUGACAACCACCAAGAUCGCUGAUGUA